rfam:Gossypium hirsutum cultivar TM-1 chromosome 20, whole genome shotgun sequence
AAUAGGAGCAUGACAAAUAAGAUUUUUCUUCCUUAUUUUCAGCUUUUUCCUCUAGAAAAAAUUCAAAUCCAACUAAAAAUACUAAAAAUUAGGAGGAAAAAUUUGAUAUGUCAUGCUCCUAUU